UGGGAGACUUGAGUGCAGAAGAGGAAAGUGGAAUUCCAUGUGUAGCGGUGAAAUGCGUAGAGAUAUGGAGGAACACCAGUGGCGAAGGCGACUUUCUGGUCUGUAACUGACACUGAGGCGCGAAAGCGUGGGGAGCAAACAGGAUUAGAUACCCUGGUAGUCCACGCCGUAAACGAUGAGUGCUAAGUGUUAGAGGGUUUCCGCCCUUUAGUGCUGAAGUUAACGCAUAAGCACUCCCGCU
rnacentral:rRNA from 1 species